rnacentral:miRNA from 1 species
GACGUCGAUAUUCGACGUCAUAAACACGGUCAACUUUGGUGUUUAUGACGUCGAUAUUCGACGUCAUAAACACGGUCAACUUUGGUGGUUAUGACGUCGAUAUUCGACGUCAUAAACACGAACAACUUUGGUGUUUAUGACGUCGAUAUUCGACGUCAUAAACACGAUCAACUUUGGUGUUUAUGACGUCGAUAUUCGACGUCAUAAACACGAUCAACUUUGGUGUUUAUGACGUCGAUAUUCGACGUC